UCCUCAGGCCUCGCCGCCAUUUUGUACGGGGGCCUUGAGCAAUGAGCGGCUUGGGCAAGGUUUCCAGGCGGGGUUCAGAGGAGCCGGGGGUGGGGCCGGCUUGGAGUCGAUACAGAGAGAGGAGCGACUCUCGCACUGUCUUGUUGUGUGGCGUUUUUGCCCAUUAGGACUCAACUAAAAACCCAUGGCUUUGGCCAGGCACAGUGGCUGACGCCUGUAAUCCCAGCACUUUGGGAGGCCGAGGCGGGCGGAUCACCUGAGGUCAGGAGUUCAAGAUCAGCCUGGGCAACACGGUGAAACCCCGUCUCUACUAAAAAUACAAAAUUAGCUGGGCGUGGUGGCACAUGCCUGUAAUCCUCGGGAGGCUGAGGCAGGAUAAUCGCUUGAACCUGGGAGGCGGAGGAUGCGGUGAGCCGAGAUCGUGCCAUUGCACUCCAGCCUGGGCAACAAAUCUCCGUCUCACCAAAACAAACAAACGAAAACCGUGGCUUUUAUCCAUGAAGCUAUUAAUAUAUUGCCUUCUUUUGAAGUGGAAUAAAACAAUCUGCCUUCAGAUAACUUAAAAUCUGAUAUGGGAAA